rnacentral:siRNA from 1 species
AGUAUGCGUCAAUGGUUUGCUUUC